UACGUAGGGGGCAAGCGUUGUCCGGAUUUAUUGGGCGUAAAGAGCGUGUAGGCGGCCAUACAGGUCAGCUGUGAAAACUCGAGGCUCAACCUCGAGACGUCGGUUGAAACCGUAUGGCUAGAGUCCGGAAGAGGAGAGUGGAAUUCCCGGUGUAGCGGUGAAAAUGCGUAGAGAUCGGGAGGAACAUCAGUGGCGAAGGCGGGCCAUCUGGGACAACACUGACGCUGAAGCACGAAAGCGUGGGGAGCAAACAGGG
rnacentral:rRNA from 1 species